GUUAAAAUCAAGUUAGGGAUUAAUUAGAAAUGAAGCUUUGUUUGUCGGGUCUCUCUCUCGACAUUGACGAAACCAAAGUCGGAGCAAUCUCCCAUGGAGAGUAGCCGUCGCCCGUAUCCACUCCAACAACAUAUCCUCCGUCACAGCCGGCUUCGAUUUCGCCACCUACUCGUCAAGUCGCCAUCGUCCUUGUUGUGUAAACCCUAGGUCUUUGAUUUUAGAUCGACGAAAUUGAAACUAUCGAAUGGAAAUGCUUCGCAAUAUUGUUCCAUAUAUCCGACCAGAUGUUUCAGAACUGGAGACAAAACUCUCAAGAUUCUCUCUAAUCCUCAGCAAAAAGUCGAUGACUUGGCAGCAAAGUCCCUAGGUAACUUAAAGAACCUAAGAGACUCACAUGCUGCACUUUCGGUUGGAAUAUCAGGAACAGUAGCUGGAGAGCCAUCUUCUGUAACUAGAUAGUAUCUGAGUGUCAAGCCGCAUUAACUGUUCUCAAUCAAAACCUUGGAAUCCUCUUGGCUUCUAUAGCUCGUGAGCUAGGGGAGCGCGGAGCGCAUGCAACUGUCACGAUGAUCUACUUGAUAUUAGGUUAUGUUCAUCAGUAGUCCUACUGUUUAGCUAUUAGAAUUCAUUUUCUGGGCUUUGUUAUGGUGAUGUAAUCGUUUGAACUCUUUUUUUUUAUCGUUUGAACUCUUUAUCUUGUGUGUUGCCAUCUACUCAAUAUAAAAGCAAAGUUUCUCA